GACGACGCUGGCGGCGUGCCUAACACAUGCAAGUCGAGCGGAGUCAGCAAGAGGAAGUUUCGGAUGGAAUCUUAUUGAUUUAGCGGCGGACGGGUGAGUAACGCGUGAGCGACCAACCUUGCACAGGGGGAUAACGGACCGAAAGGUUCACUAAUACCGCAUGAGACCACGGUGUUGCAUGACACAGAGGUCAAAGGAGCAAUCCGGUGCAAGACGGGCUCGCGUCCGAUUAGGUAGUUGGAGGGGUAACGGCCCACCAAGCCUAUGAUCGGUAGCCGACCUGAGAGGGUGAUCGGCCACAUUGGAACUGAGAUACGGUCCAAACUCCUACGGGAGGCAGCAGUGGGGAAUAUUGGGCAAUGGGGGAAACCCUGACCCAGCAACGCCGCGUGAAGGAAGAAGGUUUUCGGAUUGUAAACUUCUGUCCUUGGUGAAGAGAAGAAGACGGUAGCCAAGGAGGAAGCCCCGGCUAACUACGUG
rnacentral:rRNA from 1 species